rnacentral:rRNA from 1 species
AACGAACGCUGGCGGCAGGCUUAACACAUGCAAGUCGAACGGUUGUAGCAAUACAGCAGUGGCAGACGGGUGAGUAACACGUGGGAACCUUCCUAGGGGUACGGAACAACUCAGGGAAACUUGAGCUAAUACCGUAUACGUCGCGAGGAGAAAGAUUUAUCGCCCUUAGACGGGCCCGCGUCGGAUUAGCUAGUUGGUGGGGUAACGGCCUACCAAGGCGACGAUCCGUAGCUGAUCUUAGAGGAUGAUCAGCCACACUGGGACUGAGACACGGCCCAGACUCCUACGGGAGGCAGCAGUGGGGAAUCUUGGACAAUGGGCGCAAGCCUGAUCCAGCCAUGCCGCGUGAGUGAAGAAGGUCUUCGGAUUGUAAAGCUCUUUUGCCAGGGACGAUAAUGACGGUACCUGGAGAAUAAGCCCCGGCAAACUUCGUGCCAGCAGCCGCGGUAAU